rnacentral:rRNA from 1 species
GACGAACGCUGGCGGCGUGCCUAAUACAUGCAAGUCGAACGCAGUGGGGACGGGUGAGUAACACGUGGGUAACCUCCCAUCAGAGGGGAUAACACUUGGCAAAAGGUGCUAAACCGAUACUGAUGGAUGAACCAAGGGUGCAUUAGCUAGUUGGUGAGGUAACGGCUCACCAAGGCCACGAGGCAUCGCGGACCGGAGAGGUUGAUCGUCCACACUGGGACUGAGACACGGCCCAGACUCCUACGGGAGGCAGCAGUAGGGAAUCUUCGGCAAUGGGCGAAAGUCUGACCGAGCAACGCCGCGUGAGUGAAGAAGGUUUUAGGAUCGUAAAACGCUGUGGUUAGAGAAGCGGUAUCUAACCAGAAAGCCACGGCUAACUACGUGCCAGCCGCCGCGGUAAUAC